GGACGUGCCCACAGGAUGGGGCUGGCACAUAUCAGCGAGUCAAACACACACACACACACACACACACACACGUCGUGCACCUGGAGAGGUGAGCGUUCUGCUGCGAUUGUGUAGGCGAGUAUGUGUGCGUGUGUUUGGCUGACGGCAAAUUGGCAGAACAUGCAAAGCAAUCGCACUCCUGGUGAUCACGACGGGGCGGCGACGGAUAGACAGUGUGGCGGGCAUACCCGUCAGUGCCUGUCCGUCAGCGCUCCCUCUGUCUGUAUGUGCUGGCGUCUGUGCAUCUUCGUGUGUGUGCUUUCGUGUAACGCGUAUCUGAUAC
rnacentral:misc_RNA from 1 species